rnacentral:rRNA from 1 species
CAGAGCUUAACUCUGGAACUGCCAUCAAAACUUUUCAGCUAGAGUAUGAUAGAGGAAAGCAGAAUUUCUAGUGUAGAGGUGAAAUUCGUAGAUAUUAGAAAGAAUACCAAUUGCGAAGGCAGCUUUCUGGAUCAUUACUGACACUGAGGAACGAAAGCAUGGGUAGCGAAGAGGAUUAGAUACCCUCGUAGUCCAUGCCGUAAACGAUGUGUGUUAGACGUUGGAAAUUUAUUUUCAGUGUCGCAGCGAAAGCGAUAAACACACCGCCUGGGGAGUACGACCGCAAGGUUAAAACUCAAAUGAAUUGACGGGGACCCGCACAAGUAGUGGAGCAUGUGGUUUAAUUCGAAGAUACGCGCAGAACCUUACCAACACUUGACAUGUUCGUCGCGACUCUAAGAGAUUAGAGUUUUCGGUUCGGCCGGACGAAACACAGGUGCUGCAUGGCUGUCGUCAGCUCGUGUCGUGAGAUGUUGGGUUAAGUCCCGCAACGAGCGCAACCCUCACUUUUAGUUGCCAUCAUUAAGUUGGGCACUCUGAAAGAACUGCCAGUGAUAAGCUGGAGGAAGGUGGGGAUGACGUCAAGUCCUCAUGGCCCUUAUGUGUUGGGCUACACACGUGCUACAAUGGUACUUACAAUGGGAAGCAAAGAGGCGACUCUUAGCUAAUCCCUAAAAUGUACCUCAGUUCGGAUUGUACUCUGUAACUCGAGUGCAUGAAGCUGGAAUUGCUAGUAAUCGCGGAUCAGCGCGCCGCGGUGAAUACGUUCCCGGGUCUUGUACACACCGCCCGUCACACCAUGGAAGUUGGUUACACCUUAAGGCAAAGCUUAUACCUUUGACUACGGUACGAUCAGCAACUGGGGUGAAGUCGUAACAAGGUAGCCGUA